rnacentral:lncRNA from 1 species
UAUUAGGAAAAAAAAAAAACACCAAAUAACAAUCUGAAGGAAUGAUCCCUUUAAAUAUGUCACUCCUAUUGGAGAUCCUCAGAUUUCCACAUCCAGGAGGGAAGCAUGUGAGAACCUGGUGGACUGGUCGUGCUGCCCUGUGACUGAAUGCGCCUUGAAUCUUGGCCUCUGGAGUUAGAGUCUCAAUGCUGCCAGUAGUGAGACCUGCUCCUUACUGUGUCAGGCUAUCUGCGGCCUCAGUUUCCCCUUCCGUGACGCAGGCGUGAUCAUAGUGACCUUUACAUAUGGUUCUGAAGCACCCUUCUUGAUCACCCGUGCUGUCGGCUAUCAUCCUGAGAAGUUGGGGGUCAUGUUCAUUUUCUUUUCUAGAAAACUCCAAGAAGUCGAGAUGAAUAAAAACUAAGAGAGUCAUUCGCACCA